GGUGUUCGGGCAUCCUGAAGGUAAUACCCGGGUAUUAGGUUAUGGGGCUAGGGUAAGGUUUAAGGUUUUUGGCGUGAGGGUUAAAAUCACUGUCCAAAACCUUUGUAGGAACUCUUUUCCAACCUUUUGGAGUUAGUUAGACCACAAAAAAUGAAAAAUAAAAAAAAAAAAAAUUUGGGGUGUUCGGGCUUCCUGAAGGUAAUACCCGGGUAUUAGGUUUUGGGGCUAGGGUAACUUUUAAGGUUUUUGGCGAUAGGGUUAAAAUCACUGUCCAAAACCUUUGUAGGAACUCUUUUCCAACCUUUUGGAGUUAGUUAGACCACAAAAAAUGAAAAAUAAAAAAAAAUAUUUGGGGUGUUCAGGCUUCCUGAAGGUAAUACCCGGGUAUUAGGUUUUGGGGCUAGGGUAACUUUUAAGGUUUUUGGCGAUAGGGUUAAAAUCACUGUCCAAAACCUUUGUAGGAACUCUUUUCCAACCUUUUGGAGUUAGUUAGACAAAAAAAAAAAAGAUAAAUUAAAAAAAAAUAUUUGGGGUGUUCGGGCUUCCUGAAGGUAAUACCCGGGUAUUAGGUUUAGG
rnacentral:lncRNA from 1 species